UGAGGAAUAUUGCACAAUAGGAGGAAACGUACUGAUGCAGCAACGCCGCGUGGAGGAUGACGCAUUUCGGUGUGUAAACUCCUUUUAUGAGUCAAGAAAAUGACGGUAGCUCAUGAAUAAGCACCGGCUAACUCCGUGCCAGCAGCCGCGGUAAUACGGAGGGUGGCAAGCGUUAUUCGGAAUCACUGGGCGUAAAGGACGCGUAGGCGGGAAGGCCAAGUCUGAUGUGAAAUCCUAUGGCUUAACCAUAGAAACUGCAUUGGAAACUGGUUACCUAGAGUAUGGGAGGGGGAGGAUGGAAUUAGUGGUGUAGGGGUAAAAGUACCGUAGAUAUCACUAGGAAUACCGAAAGACGAAGGCGAUCUCCUGGAACAAUACUGACGCUAAGGCGUGAAAGCGUGGGGAGCAAACG
rnacentral:rRNA from 1 species